GAUCAUGGCUCAGGAUAAACGCUAGCGGCAGGCCUAACACAUGCAAGUCGAGGGGCGAUCGGAUAGAGUACUUCGGUACUCUUGCCGGCGACCGGCGGAUGGGUGCGUAACGCGUAUGCAACCUACCUUCAACAGGGGAUAAUCCGAAGAAAUUUGGUCUAAUACCCCAUAAUAUUCCGACAGGCAUCUGUCGGAGUUGAAAGCUUCGGUGGUUGGAGAUGGGCAUGCGUUGUAUUAG
rnacentral:rRNA from 1 species